CUCGAAAUUGACCCGACCUCUUUCCACACGGAAUACAAAUAAUGAUAGUUGGUAAUCAGGUUGACUGCUUAUAAUGCAAAAUACACAUUAAUAACAAGUUUUUUAAAACGAACAAUACAUACUGAUCGUUUCUUUAUUUCCCAAUGUAAAUGAAAGAAACAAAAACCAUUUCAUACCAUAAAAAGCCUUAAGGAGAGGAGCAAAUUGAACAUUUCCGGAU
rnacentral:lncRNA from 1 species